UCCGGUAUAGUGUAACGGUCAACAUAUCGCGUUUUCAUAAAAGAAAAAUCUCCUCACAAAGGAGUUUUUUCCGAAGCAAAAUCCGCGGGGCUCGGGGUUCGAUUCCCCGUACCGGAG